rnacentral:rRNA from 1 species
AUUGAACGCUGGCGGCAUGCCUUACACAUGCAAGUCGAACGGUAACAGGUUAAGCUGACGAGUGGCGAACGGGUGAGUAAUGUAUCGGAACGUGCCCAGUCGUGGGGGAUAACUACUCGAAAGAGUGGCUAAUACCGCAUACGACCUGAGGGUGAAAGCGGGGGACCGUAAGGCCUCGCGCGAUUGGAGCGGCCGAUAUCAGAUUAGCUAGUUGGUGGGGUAAUGGCUCACCAAGGCGACGAUCCAUAGCUGGUCUGAGAGGAUGAUCAGCCACACUGGGACUGAGACACGGCCCAGACUCCUACGGGAGGCAGCAGUGGGGAAUAUUGGACAAUGGGCGAAAGCCUGAUCCAGCAACGCCGUGUGUGUGAAGAAGGCCUUCGGGUUGUAAAGCACUUUUAGUUGGGAAGAAAAGCUCAUGGGUAAUAUCCAUGAGUGCUGACGUUACCAACAGAAAAAGCACUGGCUAACUCUGUGCCAGCAGCCGCGGUAAGAC